CACUUACAAUAUCCAUUGAUCAAAAUGCUGUAGCUAAAAAUGUCAGCUAUUUCAUUGGUCACCAUCAGAUCAAAUAGCUUUCUAGCCUUAUCAAUUUGCUUGCACAGACAAUAUCCAUCCAUCAAUGAAUUAUAAUUGACAACAUCAGGUUCCACACCUCUUUGAAUCAUUAUCUUGAUUAUAUUCUGUGCAUUUGAAACCAGUCCUUUCUUACAAAGAGUGUCAAUCAAUAUAUUGAAGGUAAAAACAUCAGGGGAUAUGUUCCUCCCCACCAUUUCUUUCAACAAGGCCAAAGCUUCCUUGAAUUGGUCUGAAAUGCAAAGACCAUCAAUUAAGGAAUUGUAGGUGACCACAUCAGGCUCUACACCUCUUUGAACCAUUACAUUGAAUGUAUUUUGAGCCUCUGAAACCAUUCCAUCCUUACAAAGAGCAUCGAUCAAUACAUUGAAGGUAUAAACAUUUGGUAAUAUGUUUUGCUCCACCAUUUCAUUCAUCAAGGCCAAAGCUUGGUUCUUUUGGCCUAAUUUGCAAACACCAUGAAUUAAACUAUUGUAAGUGAUGACAUUAGGUGAAAUGCCCUUAUUCCUCAUUUGAGAGAAGAGCUCUAAAGCCUCACUAACUAGCUCAUCCUUGCAAAGAGCGUCAAUGAUUGCAUUGUAUGUCACAACAUUUGGCUCACAACCUCUAUCAGCCAUUCCCUUUAGUAGCCCAAUAGCCACAUUUGUUUUCCCAAAUUUACACAUUCCGUUUACUAUCACAUUGAAAGUACGAACAUCAGGUUGAUAACCACGUGCAACCAUAUAAUCGAAAAAUUCCACCGCUUUAUCGAUUUUACGCUCCAUACAAAGCCCAUUAAUUAAGGUAUUAAAUGUCACAGUGGUAGGCUCCAAUCCGAAUUUGAGCAUCUUACCAAAAACAGAGAAGCCAAAAUCCACAAGGUGCAAGUGGCAGAAACAAUUAAUUAAGAUGCUAAGAGAAUAAACAUCGUGUGAGAUUCCUAGCAAUUCAAUUGUUUUGGGCAUGGAAAAGACAGUGUGAUAUUGUUUCAUUUUCACAAGGGCAGAUAAGAAUCUACUAAAUUGAGCCCUAGAAGGAAGAGGAUGCUUAUGAAUUACAUGAUUGAAGGAAGCAAUGGCAUCAUGAAGGUGGGUAAAAGAAGCAGAUUUGAAGUUAUUUGUCAAGAAGCGUGCAUCUUCAAGUGUGGAAGUAGAAGAAUGGCAAUAAUUGGUAAAUAAGAAUAGGAAUGGAGAUUGAAUGGUACCAAUUGCCCCUUGUAGCUGAAGAUGGAAGCUCCUGCUCUUCCUCCUCGAAGGCAUCUUCAUCAUCAUGGAUCUCUUGUCAGUUGUUUUUAGGGAUGGAUCGGAGAUUGGGAAUGAGGAAAGGAAAUAGAGAAUCGGAAAAGGAAGGCUCUCUGCCAGCUGGUAAUGUGGUAAGGAUAAUACCUCGUGUACGUUAAAUCAUAUUAUAAUCAAACUAUUUUCUACACCUUCAUUUUGAGAUUUCUAAUAGAUACUCAAGUAUUAUAGGGGUUGUCCACAAUCAACCAUCGGGUGUUUAUUUAUUUUACAAAUUGAUAUCGAUAUUAUACCCAUCAAGAAUGUCAGGAUACUUUCACUAAAAAUUAUUCUUGAUAUUAAUUACACUAUAUUUUAUAUAUAUAAAGUAAAACCAAACUUUUUUCAUAUUGUUUAAAUGAAAGUAAAAUAAAGAUUUUUUAUUGUUUUUAUAGCAAAUCCUUUUAUUAUUGAGAAAAAACUUAAAUUUGAUUCAAAAUUCUAGACUAUCUCUUGCUAGCUGUAUUAGAGUUGUUUAUUUCAUUUUUUUAAUUUCAUAAAUGAUUUUGCUUUUUUAAAAAAAUUAUUAGUUUUUUCCUUUUAUAAAUUAAAUGUAUAAUUUUUUUUCUCAGUAGAAAAGUUAAAUUUUUAUUUUUUUUUAUUUUUUAUUUUGCAAUAUAUAGACAAACAAUCCUAUUUAAUGUAUAUGUUUAAUAAAGGAAUAGCUUAGUUACAUUGAAAAGUGAUAUCUUAAGCAUUAAUUAUACAGUACAAAUUACGUAAUGAUUUUGUGAAUCAUGCUGUAAGCGAAUAUAUAUAUAUAUAUAUGAGUGCAAUUGUGUAGAAAGUGAAUUAAGAAAUUAAUUUGCUUAUUGGUAAAUUGAUAUUUUUAAAUAGGCUUAUGAGCAUUUAAUUUUUAUAUUUUGUCAAAAUUGACCAUUUAAUUUUUUAAUUCUGUCAUUUGGUUAAAAUAAACUUUUAUAUUAUUUAUUUUUUAAUUUUAUAUAUAUAAUUUAAUUUUUUAAAUUAAAGCUAAAAAUAUAUUUACUAAUAUUUUAUUCGAUAAGAAUAUGAAAGAGUUUGAAUUUAUAAAAUUCAAAAUGUUUUAAUUGAGUGAUUUGAAAAUAGAGAUUGAAUAAUUAAUUUUGAUAAAAUAUAAGGAUUUAUUAAUAAUUUAAAUAUAUAAAAAAGAAUUAUUUAAAACUCUCUAAAGUUUCAUAUGAUAACCCCUUACAAGUUUCAGUAGUUCAUCAAACUUGUCAGUAGUGUAAAUAAGUUCGAUUGGCCAUUAAUUUUGGAGUCGAAAUCACUAUCCUGAAACUGUUUAAUCAGUUCUUGUAAUGCUGGAAACUUCAGAUUCUCUACUGAGAUUUAAUAUUUUUUGCUCUCGUCACCCACGUAAAUGGCUACAUAACCUUUUCGAAUUUAUGGGAUUUUAACUUUCAAAUCAGUCGAAUUGGAGAAUAAUUUAUAGGAAAAAGAUUAAGUAAUUGUAUAAUGUUAAUCUAAAAUUUUAGGAAGAAUUUAUUUUCUUGCUAAAAACUCUCUACAAUGAUAUUAUUAUCAAAAUUUUCUAAGUUAAAGGAAAGGUUUGAGUGUGAAGAACUCGAAAGGAAAUUAUAUAGGAGAGAAGAGUAAUUGAGAUUUAAUUUAUAUAUAUGGAUAAGGAGUGGAUUUUUAUGAUAAAAUUUAGAUUUUUAGCAUUAGCUAAAAUUUUUUAGCUGGAUUAAUUUAUUAAUUGGUUUAAAAAAAGUUGCAAAUUAAAACAGUGAAGAAGAAUCUUUAUUAAUUAUCGAAUUAUUUUCAUUUUAAUUUAUUAAUGGUAAUUGCUAAAUAUGGUAAUUAAGUGAUGCUUCAGUUUAUAAUUUUGAGAAUAAAUAAAAUUUCUUUGAUUUUAUGAUUUUAAGUUUCUUAAGAUGGUAGAAUUAGUUUAUAGGUCAGUAGAUUUUUUGUAAGGAGUUUGAAAUGGUUAUAAUAAAAAAAUUAAAUAUUUUAUUUUUUUUAUAUCAACACGAACAUUGUUAAAAAUAACAAAAUUAUUAAAAUUAUUGAAUAAAUUAAUAAAAAUUAAUAAGAUUAGCUAAAAUUAAUCAUGAGUGAAAAUAUUGAAUAACAUAAAAAUUUUGAUUUUUUCUUUUGUUAUUUAAUUUUUUUUAAAGAAAUGAAGAUAACUAUUUUUUAACAAAAGUGGGGCCAUUGAAACUAGAAUUAGCUGCUUCGAUUCAAUUUUUCUUUUCCUUUUUUGUAAAUGUUAUGUAGAUUCCCUUCAUUUUUUUUUUCUUACUAGAAUUUAUUUUCUUUUUGUAGUUUAUUAACUAUCAUACAUUACAAAAUAAUGUUUAAUGGAAAAUUUUAAUUAUAGUUUUAUUAAUAAUGAUGUUUAUAUUAAUUUUAUAUUAUUUAAUUUUAUAUAAUAAGAUAAAUAAUAGAAAAAUAAAAAUAAAAAUACCUUAUAUAUAUAUAUAUAUAUAUUUAUUUAUUGAAAGGUUAAUUUAUGUAAGAGUUUUUUUAUAAUAAAGUUAUAUAUUUAAUUUAAUUAAAAUUAUAUUUUUUUAAAAUAGAAUUUAUAUUUAAAUAAAAAAAAUUCUAACCGAUUAAAUUAAAUAUUUUAUUUUUAAUCAAUUAAAAUAAAGAGUUACUUAUAAUUAUUAAAUUUAACCACCUUUUAUAUUGAAAAUUUCAUUAUUUCCCUUUACUUUCCAUUUAUAUAAAUAUAUAUGUGUAUAUUAUUAAAAAUCAAAUAAUCACAGAUAAAAAAAAUAAGCGAUACACAAAUUUAAUGUGAUUAAUCAAUUUGGCAAGAUCAUGACGAUUAUUUUUUUUUUUAUUUUUCUAUGAAUUUUUGAAUAUAAUACACUAGAAAAAUAUUAUAUUUUUAUAUGUCUAAGAAAAUAUAAAAAAGAUAUAAUAGUUUUAAAAAAUUUACGAUCAUGGAGUAUAAUGUAUAUUUUAUAAUAUAUUAUUAGUUUCCAUAUCUCAACAUAUAUAUAUUUUAUAAAAUAAAAUUUAUAAUAAAUAGAAAAUAAUUUUAACCAAAUAAAUUAAAUAUUUUAGAGAAUAAUUUUUUUUUCAAUAAAUCAAAAUAAAUAGUUAAUUUUACUUUAUGUAUAUAUAUAAUAAGUUUUAGUUUAAAACUAAUAAAUUUAAAACUAAAUAAUUUUAAUUAAAUAAGUAUAUAUAAAAAUUAAUUCACAAACUUGUAAAAACCAAAUUUUUAAAUAUUAACGAUCCCGAUGUCUGCAAGUUUUAAAAGUGUAAUUAAACUAUAUAAAGUUAAAUUUUAAAAAACUAAGAUUGACUUGUGAAAGUAUAUGUAGAGUUUAAACUUAUUUCUCUUAUGAUAUUAAUCUCAACCUAUCACGAGAACACCUAUCUGAUUUGGAGUGAUACACUCUGCUAAUUUCUUCUGGUGCUUCACAUUUCUUGAUUAGUGAUCAUUAAUCUAAUUAAUAUUAAGUAAUCAUAUAGAUUUUACACACUAAUAUUUAAAAAUGUCUCUUUUCUUCUGAAUCCAAGGACCAUACUUACAGAUUCAAGCUCCGGAUUCAAGGCUCUUCUUCUCCAAUACUCUGCAUCGUCAACCAUCAAUAAAAAUAGCGCAGCCAGAAGCUUGACUGCAUUUGCAGUGAAUCUUCGCUCAGCUGAAGACUCUUGAGACUUUGUUCUUCUUCACUGUGUCAUUUUGAGACAAGAAUCAUUUUGUAAGCCAAUUACAAGAAAAGCUAUUUUUGAGGCAUAACUGUACUAAAUAAUCUGCAACUAAAUUUGCUUUUUUGUAAAUUUUAUCCCUGUACUUUAUUGAAAUAUAAGAUUUGGUCCUUAUAUUUUUAAAUUCUACUAUUAAGUCCCUAAAAAUUUUGACAGAAAAAUCAACAAUUCAGUCCCUACCAUCAAAACAAGAGUUAACUUUCUCUUAAAACUAUUAAAAAAUGACCAUAAUGCCUUCUAGUAUAUAUUUUUAUAUUAAAAUAUUAAUUUUUAAUGAUGAUUAGGAUGCUGACGUGAUAUUUCUGUUAAAUCUAACAUCAAAUUUACUGGUAGGUUAUAAAUAAAUUUAGAUAGUUAGUUUAGAGUAUAUUAGUUAAUUUUUAUAAUUUAGAGUAUAUCUGUUAAAAUGCGAAUAGUUCAAAGUUUUUUUUGCCACCAUCCCUUUUGCAAAUUGAUCUUGAAUACUUAUUAUAUAUAAUCUUAUUCAUAAAUAGUUAUAAUAUGUAAGGAUUAAUUUGUAAAAUUAUAGAAAUUAUUUGUCAAUAAUUAAUGUUGGAAAGAAUCCUCUGCCAUGAUUGUAAAUCAAUCAGUGAUCCUCUGUCAUGAUUGUAAAUCAAUCAGUGAUCAAAUCUUACCAUGUUUAGCAUAGCACAAUUCUAGGACAUAAUUGAGGGCACAAUCAAAGGUCUAAUUGUUCAUAUUAUGUACUAUAUAAACUCUGUAACUUACUACACAAGAGGUAAGAAAAUAAAAACAGUUUUCUUCCUAUAAUCUCAAGAUGGUAUCAGAGCGGGUUUGGGUCUAAAAAUAUAGUCAUCCUGCAAUAAUCCUUUACCAGAUACCUUUCCCAACUUCUUUCUCUCACCAAAACAACAAUGGCCGACCUUCCCAGCCCGGUUGACCAAUCCCAGGCAAUAAUUGAUCCAAUAGCAGACCUGUCACAAAAACUAUUCCAGUUAAUUCAGAAUAGCCAAGAUGGAAAUCAGAAAUCAGUGAACCAAUUCACUCUUGAUUCAGCACAGCCACCAUCCGACAUAAAAUUGAAUGAUUCCAAUUAUGUUGUAUGGGCAAAGAUGAUGGAGAUGUUUAUCACGGCGCUACAAGAAGCCGCGAAAGGAGGAGGCACAUGUGUCCCUUAUGAUCGAGAAGGAGGUAUUUUAGGGUUAGAAAGGAGGGCAAAUGACCUUUCUACCCCUGUCUCUUUAAAUAAAUCUAAAUGUGCCUCUGCUUGUUUUAAUUCUUGUAAAAUUAAAUCCCUGGUCUCGGAUGUUUUAGAUAAGUUUGGUUGUAAUCCCAAAACUGAAUCGUUAGCCCCUAAUUCUAUCGGUCAUGCUAACAAGGUACAAAAUACUAAUGGGUGGAUAUUUGAUUCAGGAGCCACAGAUACUAUGACUAAUGAUUCUUCAGAUUUUGUUGUGUCAGCCCCACCCUCAAAAUCCAAUAUUCUAAACGCUACCGGUGGCUCCUUCCCGGUCAUCAGUGGUGGUACCGUUUCUAUAACCCCCACUUUAAAUGUCUCCAACAGCCUCUAUAUACCUUCCUUAUCUUGCAAAUUACUCUCUGUCAGUCAGAUCACCAAACAGUUAAAUUGCAGAGUACUCAUGUAUCCUCAUUUUUGUGUUUUGCAGGAUAUUCAUACGGGCACGGUACUGGGCCGUGGUACUGAGAAAGAUGGACUAUACUAUGUGGAGGAGGUCUCAAAUACUGGGUCAGCUCAUUUAGCUCAAGGGUCCUCAACCCGACAGUUAUGGUUCUGGCACCGGCGCUACGGCCAUCCCUCAAGUGAUUAUCUUCGUACUUUGUUUCAUGAGUUUAAAUCCAUUGACAUUUCAGUUUGUACUUCAUGCGUGCUUGCUAAGAGUCAUAAGAGUACUUAUCAUAUAUCCACAAAUAAAUCUGAUACUCCCUUCUCAAUAAUACACUCUGAUGUAUGGGGGCCUGCCCCGGAAACUGUCUCCCUUGAUUAUAGAUACUUUGUGACUUUUAUUGGUGAUUGCACUCGUGUUACUUGGGUUUACCUGUUAAAACAAAAAAGUGAAGUGGCUGAGACAUUCUGUGAUUUUUUCCGCAUGAUUAAAACCCAAUUUUACAGGACCAUUCAAGUCCUCCGAUCUGACAAUGGGGGGGAAUUUGUCAAUAACCAUCUCCAAACCUUUUUCUGGGAUAAUGGGAUCCUUCACCAAACUACUUGUCCUUAUACACCACAGCAAAAUGGGGUUGCUGAAAGGAAAAAUCGACAUAGCCUUGAGACUGCCAGAGCCCUAUUGUUUGAAGCCCAAGUUCCUCCUAAGUUUUGGUCUGAAGCAGUUGCCACAUCCAUUUACCUCAUCAAUCGACUUCCGUCUCGCGUCCUUAAUUUCCAAUCUCCCUUGCAUACCUUGUCCUCUCAUCACACCAUCCCUUCCCAUCUCAACCUUCCACCUAAAAUCUUUGGCUGCACAGUUUAUGUUCACAUUCCUAAAACACACCGCACUAAACUUGAUCUAUGUGCUCUUAAGUGUGUUUUCUUUGGUUAUGGUGUCCAUAAAAAGGGCUAUCGGUGUUUUGACCCAAUCUCUAAACGGCUCUUCACUACCAUGGACUGCACUUUUCUGGAAGAGGAAUAUUUUUUUCCCUCGCCAACUAGCAGUGAGGGGGAGACAACGGCACAAUCACCACCACUGCCAAAUUGGCUUAGUCAAGAGGGGCCAUAACUUGAUCAUUCUUCUCUUCCUGAGUCUAUACCAGAACUGGGAGACACCAGUCAUUCUUCCCUUCCUGAGUCUACACCAGAACUGGGAGACACUAACCAUCUAGUACAGUCCUUGGAAUCAACAUCACAACCAGAACCUGGCACCGUAGAAUAUCCUGAGGAACACACAACUGAGGUAUGUGAAUCUGAACUUUCUCCUGUUCCUAAUAACCUCACCACUGAACCCAUUUCCCUUGAGGUUCUUGAAACAGGCCAAUAUGUUCUACCCCCUCGGAAUAAUAGAGGAAUUCCACCCAGGAGAUAUGAUCCAGAAUUCGAGGCAGCCAGGUCCAGAUACACUGGCAAACGUUACCAGAGGAGAAAGACUAUCACCUCAGUUGGUCAACUACAGAAAAACAUUUGCUCAGAAUGGAUACCAAAGGAUGCCACAGAGGCCCAAAAGGACAAAAGAUGGGUUGAGGCAAUGGAGAUCGAGAUGGAUGCCCUGGAGAAAAACAAGACCUGGGAAAAAUGCUGGCUACCCAAGGGAAAACAACCAGUGGGAUGCAAAUGGGUGUUUACCAUAAAGUAUAAGUCAGACGGAACGGUGGACAGAUAUAAAGCUAGACUUGUAGCAAAAGGAUAUACUCAGACUUAUGGAGUUGACUAUUCUGAAACAUUCUCUCCAGUAGCAAAAAUUGACACAAUACGGGUCCUAUUCUCUCUAGCUGCAAACCUAGACUGGCCACUUCACCAAUUUGAUGUGAAAAAUGCUUUCUUGCAUGGUGAUCUAGAAGAGGAAGUAUACAUGGAUGCUCCACCAGGGUUCAUGAGUGGAUAUAGAAGGGGAGAAGUGUGUUGAUUGAGGCGAGCCUUGUAUGGGUUGAAACAGUCACCCAGAGUAUGGUUUGGGAGAUUUACUCAAGUAAUGAAGAAAAAUGGAUAUCGGCAGAGUAACUCCGAUCACACUCUAUUCUUGAAGAGGCAAGGAAGGAAGAUCACGUGUUUGAUUAUAUACGUGGAUGACAUGAUUAUAACUGGAGACGAUGUGGACGAAACCAAACAACUGAGGGACAACUUAUUCCAAGAAUUUGAGAUGAAAGACCUAGGGAUUCUAAAAUAUUUUCUUGGAAUCAAAGUUCUCAGAUCAGACCAGGGAAUUUUGAUAUCACAGAGAAAGUACAUUCUUGAUCUGUUAAUUGAAACAGGAAUGAUAGAUUGCAAACCAGUCGAUACUCCGGUAAUGGUCAAUCAUGAGUUAAGUAAGGACUCAAAAGAAGGACCCACAGACAGGGGGAGGUACCAGAGACUGGUAGGAAAACUGAUUUAUUUAUCACACACCAGAUCAGACGUGGCAUAUGCUGUGAGUUUGGUAAGUUAGUUCAUGCAUGAUCCAAAACAAGACAAUAUGGAGGCAGCAUUGAGAAUCGUUUGAUAUCUGAAAGGAACAGCUGGGAUGGGCAUGUUGUUCAAAAAGAAUGGUCAUUUCAAUAUCAGUGGAUAUACGGACGCAAGUUGGGCAGGAGAUCUCUCCGACAGACGAUCUACUUCAGGAUACUUUACCUUUGUCGGAGGAAAUUUGGUAACGUGGAAAAGUAAGAAACAAAAGGUGGUGGCACUGUCAAGUGCUGAAGCAGAAUUCAGGGGAAUAGCAAAAGGACUGGUAGAACUCCUAUGGAUCAGAAAGUUGAUGUUUGAGCUUGGAUUCCCAUCAAAGGAUGCAGCUGAACUCCAUUGUGACAACAAGGCGGCAAUAAGCAUUUCUGAAAAUCCAGUUCAGCAUGAUCGAACAAAAUAUGUUGAAAUAGACUGACAUUUCAUCAAAGAAAAGUUGGACAGUGGUCUGAUAUCUUUACCGUUUGUUCGAUCAGAGGAUCAAUGGGCGGACAUCCUAACCAAAGCAGUAGCUGGACGAAUAUUCCAUGAGGUUUUGGGCAAGUUGGGUAUGCUAGAUCCACAUGAACCAACUUGAGGGAGAGUGUUGGAAAGAAUCAUCUGUCAUGAUUGUAAAUCAAUCAGUGAUCAAAUCUUACCAUGUUUAGCAUAGCACGAUUCUAGGACAUAAUUGAGGGCACAAUCAAAGGUCUAAUUGUUCAUAUUAUGUACUAUAUAAACUCUGUAACUUACUACACAAGAGGUAAGAAAAUAAAAACAGUUUUCUUCAUAUAAUCUCAAGAAUUAAAAUAUUCAGAAUUAAUUUGUAAAAUAGAAGGAGUUAUUUGUAAAUAAGUAUAUUAUUAGGAUCAACUUGUAAAAUUGUAGGUACUUAUUUAUAAAGAGUAAAAACUUUGUGAUUAAAUUUAUAAUAAUAUUAGGAUAAAUUAAAAAAUAUAAAAUUUAAAUUAGAAGACUAAACUAUAAAUCUAAUUAAACGUAUGAAAUUUUAUUGUUUUAGAUGAAAAUAUAUUUUAGAGGGUAUUAUGAUAUUUUUUAAUAGAUUCAAAAGUCUUAAAAGUUUAAAAGGAAUCGUAUUGUAAAGAUAAGAAUCAAUAUAACGUCUUAAUUUGUAUCGAUAAUGCAGUGAUUUUACCAUUUGCAAUUUUUAAUAAAAAUCUGUUGGUAAAUAAAUUAUCUAAUUCAUUGUUAAAAAGUUCGAUGGUAAAUUUUUAUUAAUAACUUUUAAGUCCGUUAAUAAUACUAAUGGAUUUAUUAAUAGAGUUUUGAUUAUUAUUAAUAACAGAUUUUAAAUCUGUUAAGAGAAAAAUAAUUUACUAAUAAACGUGAAAUCCGUUAAGAAAUUACCAACGUAUUGUAAUUCUUAGUCAAUUUAUUGAGUUUAAAUAAUUUUUUAUUAAUUUAAUAAGACUUAAAAUUAUAUUAUUAUUGUUACUAAGUUUUUAAUUUAUACCCAAUGUGUAUUAGAAAUACAUAGAAAGUGAAAAUAAGAGAAAAGUAAAUGGUAUAAAAUGAGAGAAAAUAAUAAAAGAGAAAGAAAAAAGAGAAAAAUAAAGAAAAUGAUAGAAAAAUAAAAAUUAUGAAAAAGAAAGAAGAAUGAGAGUAGGGUAAAAAGAUGAUUAGAGAAACAGAAAAAAAAGUGAACAAAUGAUUGGAGAAGAAAAUAAAUAAAGAGAAAAAAUAUAGAUGGAAAGAAAAUGAUAAAAGAAAUAAUACUAGAAAAACUAAUAUGAAUGAAAAUUAUAAAGAAAAUAAGAAAAUAAUGAGAAAAUGAAAGAAAAAUAUGGAAAAGAAAAUGAAGAAAAUGAAAGAAAAAUUAUGAAGAAUGAAUGAAAAUAAUAGAAGAUGAAAGAGAACGAUAGAAAGUAGGAUAAGAGAUGAAAAAAAAGAAAAAAUAGAAACAAUAAGAAAAAAAAAACUUAUAAGAUAAAAAAGUGAAAUAAAAAAAAAUAGAAAAUGAAAGAAAAUGAGAGAAGGGGAAAAUCUGGAAGAAAGUAAAAUGAUAAAAUGAAUGAAUGAUAAAAAUAUAAAAGUUGGUGUUAUAUUUAUAAAUGCGAAUUACUAAUGAAUUUGUAAUUUAUUAUUAAAUUAAAAAAAUAACUUUUUUCUCUCCAAAAAAUUAUCAAUAGAUUUCAAAUUUAUUAGUAAACCCGUUAAUAACCGAAAAAUAUAAAUCGUAAAAAAAAAAGUGAAAAUUUAUGCAGAUUUUAUUUUAAAUUUACCAAUUGAUAUAUUAGCGAAUAGCAUCCAUCCAUAAAUUCAACAAUUUUUUUUAUGUAUUAAUUUAAUGAUAAAAUUUAAUAAUAGAUUUUUAAAUUCGUUAGUAAUUUUUUAGGCAAAUUACUAAUAUAUUUAGAGUUCGUAAGUAAUUUAAACACUUUUUAAAAUUUACUUAGGAUGUAAACAAACUGAGCAUAACCUAGUUUUGAAGAGUUCAAGUUUGGUUUGUUAAAAAUUUUUCAAACUCGAGCCGAACUCAAGGUUUAAUCAUUUCGAACUCAAGUCGAGUAUUAAUAAUGUCAAGCUUACUCAUUUAGCAAAUAAACUUAGAUGAGUCGAGUUUUUAUCGAAUUUAAUCUUGAAUAAUUCACGAAUAGUUAAAUUUAUUUACAUAUAUAAUGAAUUUUAUUUUAUGAUCAAAUAUAAUUUAGUCACAUUUUUAUUAUCUUUAUUACUAUUUAAUUACACAUUUUUUCAGCUUAAUUUAUGUUUUUAUAGUGUUUUUGCGGAAAAUGGAGAAAAUGGAAAGUUAGAGAAAAAGUGCAGAAAAAACUGGGAAAUUGAUUGGGUCAGAGUGAUUUGGCCAAAUCACCCGCAGGAAACCAAAACAGAAGGCUAAAGGCAGAAACCUGGAAGUAAUUCACAGAAAUGAUUUGGGCAAGUGAUUUGCCCAAAUCACACUAACGCUAGAGAGACCAAUAACGCGGGAAAGAAGAGCAGAAAAUCAAAAUUCAAAAGUGGAGAAGUCCAAUCCUACUUCAAACACUACAAAGUCAAUUCCAAGAGCCACGAGAAGGUCUUUCACUCAAGAAAUUCCAUUCACAAUUAAAUACAAAAUCAAAAGAGAAAUCAAAGACUACAAAAGACCAAGUCAAAAUUAGGAUUUUCAAACCCUAAUUGGACUAGGAUUCUCCAUCUAUAAAAGGGACAGCAUCAAAAACAGCUAGGGAGAUCUCUCCACAGUCGGAAUUUCUGCAAAAACUCGGCAGAAGCACAACAGCCUCCUCUCUUUUCUUUCUUCUUUCUUUUUUGUGAUUUUGUCCACCAUGAGUGGCUAAACACCUUCUUUUCUAGUUGAAGUUGGGAAAUUUCAGAUUUGUGAUGAAUUGAGAGAUUUAAAACUCUAUUAUUAAACUCUUAUUUAUUUUCAAUAUUUAUGCAACUUGAUCUUUCUAUUAUUAUUGCUUUGCUUUUAGAAUCAAUUAAGGUCUAUUACUUUUAAUUGCAUGAGUAAUAUAUUGUUUGAAUGAUUUAGGUCCGUAAUUACUUAGAUUGUUUAAACUCAAGUAUAAUCGGUUGCAUAAUCUAAACUUGACCACGCGGUUGGCAAGGUUAGAAUUAGAUUUCUCUAAAUCUUAAGGCAGUUAACAGUUGAAAAGUAAAAAAAUCCCAAAAACGUUUAUUGGCAACUUGUUAACUAGUGUUUAAUUAGCAAACAUUUCCUAAUCAUACUAAAACUAAGGAGAAAUUUGGAUUGUGAGAAACGUCUUCCACAUCUUAAACUAAUUUAUUGAAAUAAAUAGGGGUAUCAAAAAGAUCAAUGAUCAAUUCUAAAUAAGUUGAAAUAGAUCCAUACUUCAAUUAGAAUCCUUCUCCCAUUGAUUUACUCAUUUAUUUAAUUACUGCUUUCUUUUACUCAAUUGUAAUUCUUCAAAACAAAAUGCCGCCUUUUAUUUACUUUUAUUAUUUAUUUGUCCAAGUCAUUAUUAGGAAAAUUCGUAUUGUCAAAUCCAUGUGGUUUGACCCUAUUGUCACUAUCUACAAAUUAUUUUAUUGAUUGAAAAUAGGUUUAUUUUUUACGGUUUCGACAACCGCUAUCACUUUAAAACUAAUAAAUUUAAAACUAAAUAAUUUUAGUUAAAUAAAUAUAUAUAUAUAAAUUAGCUCCUAAAUUUAUAAAGAUAAGAUCUUAAAUUUUAACCUCUAAAUAUAUGCAAGUUUUAAUAGUGUAAUUAAAGUAUAUAGAGCUGAAUUUUAAAAAAUUUAAAUUUGGUUUAUGAAAGUAUAUGUAGGGUUUAAAAUUAUUUUUAUUAUGAUAUUAAUCUCAGUCUGUUUAACGAGACUACUCACAAGUUGUUCGUGAGCCUGUUCAUGAACUCGAAAAUGAACUGACAUCUUGAGUCUUAACGAGCCGAAUAUUAUGAAAUUUAAACUUGACUCAUUUACUAAAUAAAUUUAAAAAUUAAAUUUGAGCUUGCAUCAUAUAGAAAUAAAGUCAAAAUCGAUCAAGUUUUUAUCGAGUUGAAUCUCGAAUAACUCAUAAAUGGUUUAAUUCAUUUACACCCCUAAAUUUAUUAACAGAUUCAAAUUAUCAAUAAAUUACCAAAGAAUUUAUUAACAGAUUUUAAAUCUGAUAGGAAAUUUCAACACCAAUUAUUUUAUAAAUUUAUAAAGUUUUACAGAAUUUUUAAAUCCGUUAAUAUUAAUUUCAAAUUCGUGGUGAAUAAUAAUUUAUAAAGUUUUAAAGAAUUUUUAAAUCCGUUAAUAUUAAUUUCAAAAUUGUGGUGAACUUUUACAUGAUUUGUUGGUGAAUUUUUACAUAAUUUUUUUAUAUUAAGAAUUAAGAUGAAUUUUUAAAUUUAUUAAUAAAUUCAUUAAAUUUACUAAUGAAUUAAAGCACUAAUAAAAUCUGUUGGUAAUACGAAAAUAUAAAAAUUUCUUGUAGUGAAAAUUGUCCGGACAAAAUAUCUAUAAGUGGAUUGUGUGGUGCUGUGCUCUUCAUUAUCGGUAGAUCUACGAGGAGCUGAGAUUAUUGCAUAUAUAUAUAUAUAAUGUAUUCGAUUAUUUUUAUAUUUAAUAUUAUUUUAUUAAUUUUAUAAAUUAAAUUAUUCAUAUAACUUAAACAUAAUUAUUUUCCUUUUAAUUAUUAAACAAUUAUUAACAAUAUUAAAAAAUAAUCAUAUAUUCUAAUUAAUUAUUAAAAAUUUCUAACAAUAUAUAAUUAAAUAAUUUAAUUAAUUAAUUUUAGUGUAUUCUACCUAAGUAGAUUAUAUAUGUGUGUGUAUUUUUUUAUAUCAACCAUAAAUGUAUUAAUUAUUUUGUAGUUUUUAAUUAUAUAAAUAAAUUACGUAUUAAUAAUAUAAUAUAUUUUUAUAUAUUAAUUAUAUCUAUUUUUUAAUGAAAAUUAUAUAAUUAAUAACUACAUAAAAUAAUAAAAUAUUCUUAUCCAGAGUUAUAUAUAAUAUAUAUUAUAUUACUACAGUUAUUAUUAUUAUUAUUAUUAUUUAAUAUUAAUUAUUUAUUAUUUUAAAAUAAACGUAAAAGGCUAUUACGAUUUUAUUUGUAAAAAUUAAAAUUUAAAAUGAAACAAAAUUAAAAUUAAAAUAAUAAAAAAAAUUGAAAUCAAAUUGAGACUACUGAAAUUACUUAGAACUAUACUAAAUUUCAAUUCUAAAUAUGAUUCUACAUAAAUUUAAUUUGGUUCUGUUUCUUAGCAAAAACUAUAGCUUUUCCUUUUAGCAUGUUGCCUUUUAUGAACUUGUUCAUAAAUAAAUUUGGACAAAAAGUCCUGUUAAAUAGCUGAAGCUAAACUAGCAUUUUAAUCGCUAGUAGGACCAAUUGCAGUUGCUUAUCUCAGUGGCUGCAUGUCUGAUUUUCAUCCUCUUCUUUUGCUUAUAAUUUCUAAACCAAUCAGCAAGUAUCUCUAACAUGCCCAAAAGCUUUCCAAAAGUCUCAAAAUCUAUAUGAAACUCUUUCCUCCACUCCCAACUUUCUAACUUCCUAACUUUUCUUUUAAGAAUGAGGAGGCUGAACAUAUAAUUAUACUAAAAACAAACUCAUAUCUUUAAUGAUGCUUUAAAACACCAAGUUUAUCCCAUAGUUUCUUCAAUCUUCUAAAGUAAACAACAACUGAUAUAGAUUCUUGACUGAAACUACUUAUUUCUUUCUUUAAUUGGUGUAUAAGUUGCCCAAAUCUUUCUUUAAAGCAAGUGUCAUAGUCACAGACAUACUCCAAGUCGAAUAAUUUACUAAAUUUAAAGGUGCAGAUAGAUAUGAGAAUCCUACUUGGAUUAUCUGAGUUUUAAAGAGUAGAAGGAUCUGAAUCAUUUUGCAAUUGGUUUCCUACCUCUCAAUAUGUACCCUGUCAGCCCCACCUUCUCUAACAAACCAUUUUCCAUGGAUGCAGUCACAAAAACUUCAAGAAUGAUGCAUCUUGCAAAAAGAAAAAUACCGUGUACAAACAAGAGCCCAAAGAAAAUUUUAUUGAGUAUAUUACAAGGUUUAGAAAGUGGUAAAAACAUAAGAUGUCUCAUUAUAUACUGCUGAAAGGAGAAAAGAAACAACCAAAACAUCUUUUCUUGCCUAACUUAACUAACAUCUCAAACAGUAAGAAACAAUGCGUUUCACAUUCAUAACACCACACAAAUGUAUCGCAAAAUGCACCAUAUAAAUAACUCAAAUGGUGGUCCAACACUAAAAUAUAUCCGUUAUAUACCAUAUUGACAAAGAGGAUGUUUGCUUUUCCCUCAAUUCCCAUAACAUUUUCUGUUGUCUAUAAUUUUAGUGACUUUUCAUCCAACCAACAGCUGUAGAAGUCUAGUGAUUUUCUUACCUUGUAUUCUGGGACUGUAUAUCCUGCGCCCUGCAUUUAUAGUGUAGUAUAAUUGUUAAAUCAAUUCUCAAUUAAAGCACACCGGUUUAUAAUCAUUAGUUUCAUUAUAAUUAAAAAUUAUAAUAACAAAGCAAAAAUGAAUUGCUUAUACCUUUAUGGUUAGAAAGGUGAAGUUGUAGUCAUAUCCUUGCAAGUACCUACAAGAGAAAUGAUAGCAUUUUGAAAGGUCAUUGAGCACAAAAAUAAAAAUAGAUAAAGAUUCUUAGGCAUUGUAGUAUGGAACUAAUUAGUUUUAGUUCUCAACUCAAUGUUAGGACUGAGCUCUCGAGUUAAGGCUGUAGUAGCAGCAAAAAAAAAAAAUUGUAAUGGAGAUGGUGGGUUUACCAGCAACGUGAUGAUUAGAAAUCCAUGACCUCCAUUCAUCAACAAUCUUAUAUCAAAGAGAUCUAGUCCAUGUCAGAAUUCAAGCGAAAGGCACACACAUAUCAUGGUUUUCACCACAGGUCAUUUGCAGUGUUAGAAAUUUUCGUUUUGUGGAAGAGAAUCACAGCUGAUUGAAAUUAAAAAUGAUAUUUGAAGAAGUUAGUUAAAUUACAUAUUCUAUUAUAUUUGAAAAAGGUAAUUACCAAGUUGCGCUCCAAGACACACUUGAAUGGUCAAGAUAUAACAACUUUAGUUUGCUAAUCCCUCAUUGCGCACCUUUAAAAGCCUCAGAAUGAGAUUAUUAUUCCGCGAUAAAUGUACUAGCAAUUCUGUGGUAGCAUCAUCAGCAGUGAACCCCCUUAUCAACCAUUUCGGUGAUUAGUUCUGAUGCUUUUGGUAAAUCCUCAUGCAUGAGAAACCCUUGAAUGAUGAUAUUAUAACAACAAUUAUUUGGUAAACAUCCUACCUUUUCCAUGUCUUUAAAUACGUUAUACGCUUCAUCAAUUAAUCCUUGUUGGCAGAGUCCUUUCAUAAUUGCAUAAUAUACAUAAACAUCAGGUUGUAAACCAAUUUCAAAAAGACUAGAAAAAAGUUCCUUGGCAUCAUUAAUCUUCCCAACUUUGCACAUACCAUUGAUCAGACUGCUAUAGAUCACAACAUUAGGUUUCAACUGACUUUUCUCCAUUGCUUUCAAUAGUGUGAGUGCCUCAUCGAGAUUCCCCUGUCUACACAAGCCAUCAAUCAUAAUUGAGAAGGUUACUAUAUUUGGUUGUUGACCAUGAGAGCACAUAUCCUUAAAGAGCUCUUUUGCAUUUUGGGGCCUCCCUGCUUGAAACAUACCCUCUAUAAGAGUAGAAUAAGUAACAACAUCAGGAACUAAACCUUUAUGAGACAUUUCAACAAAAAUAUCCUUUGCAUCAUCUAUCAUUUUGCACUUGCAAUAUCCAUUGAUCAAAAUGCUGUAGCUAAAAAUGUCAGCUAUUUCAUUGGUCACCGUCAGAUCAAAUACCUUUCUAGCCUUAUCAAUUUGCUUGCACAGACAAUAUCCAUCCAUCAAUGAAUUAUAAUUGACAACAUCAGGUUCCACACCUCUUUGAAUCAUUAUCUUGAUUAUAUUCUGUGCAUUUGAAACCAGUCCUUUCUUACAAAGAGUGUCGAUCAAUAUAUUGAAGGUAAAAACAUCAGGGGAUAUGUUCCUCCCCACCAUUUCUUUCAACAAGGCCAAAGCUUCCUUGAAUUGGUCUGAAAUGCAAAGACCAUCAAUUAAGGAAUUGUAGGUGACCACAUCAGGCUCUACACCUCUUUGAAUCAUUACAUUGAAUGUAUUUUGAGCCUCUGAAACCAUUCCAUCCUUACAAAGAGCAUUGAUCAAUACACUGAAGGUAUAAACAUUUGGUAAUAUGUUUUGCUCCACCAUUUCAUUCAUCAAGGCCAAAGCUUGGUUCUUUUGGCCUAAUUUGCAAACACCAUGAAUUAAACCAGUGUAAGUGAUGACAUCAGGUGAAAUGCCCUUAUUCCUCAUUUGAGAGAAGAGCUCUAAAGCCUCACCAACUAGCUCAUCCUUGCAAAGGGCGUGAAUGAUUGCAUUGUAUGUCACAACAUCUGGCUCACAACCUCUAUCAGCCAUUCCCUUUAGCAGCCCAAUAGCCACGUUUGUUUUCCCAAAUUUACACAUUCCGUUUACUAUCACAUUAUAAGUAUAAACAUUAGGUUGAUAACCACGUGCAACCAUAUCAUCGGAAAAUUUCACUGCUUUAUCCAUUUUACCCUUCAUACAAAGCCCAUUAAUUAAGGUAGUAAAUGUCACAGUGGUAGGCUCCAAUCCGAAUUUGAGCAUCUUACCAAAAACAGAGAAGCCAAAAUCCACAAGGUGUAAACGGCAGAAGCAAUUAAUUAAGAUGUUAAGAGAAUAAACAUUGUGAGAGAUUCCUAGCAAUUCAAUUGUUUUGGACAUGGAAAGGACAGUAUGAUAUUGUUUCAUUUUCACAAGGGCAGAUAAGAAUCUAUUAAAUGGAGCCCUAAAAGGCAGAGGAUGCAUAUGAAUUACAUGAUUGAAGGACGCAAUGGCACCAUCAAGGUGAGUAAAAGAAGCAGAUUUGAAAUUAUUUGUCAAGAAGUGUGCAUCUUCAAGUGUGGAAGUAGAAGAAUGGCAAAAAUUGGUAAAUAAGAAUAGGAAUGGAGAUUGAAUGUUACCAAUUGCCCCUUGUAGCUGAAGAUGGAAGCUCCUGCUCUUCCUCCUCGAAGGCAUCUUCAUCAUCAUCGAUCUCUUGUCAGUUGUUUUUAGGGAUGGAUCGGAGAUUGGGAAUGAGGAAAGGAAAUAGAGAAUUGGAAAAGGAAGGCUCUCUGCCUGCUGGUAAAGGAAAUGCAUUACUCUGUCGUUUAUAUGCACCACAUUUUGUAAUUUUUUAUUAAAUUUUCAUAUAAAAAUAUUAUUUAAUAGCAAAUUAAAUUUAUCAUUUGUAGAUACCUAAUUAAAGGCAGUUAUAUAAAUUGUUAAUUUUAUUUUUAAUAUUAAUAAAAUUUCAUGAAAAAUAUAUUUAAUUUUUAGCUUAUAUAAUUUUUUAUUAUUAAUUAUUUUAUUUUAUUAUAAUAAAAUUAAUUUUUUUACCAAACUUUACUCUUAUAGGAAUUGUUUAGCGCAUUUUUAUUUUGACAUCUAUUUAGAUAAUAUUACGAUUUAAUUAAUGUAAUAAAAAAAUUAAUAUAUAAAAUUAUUUCAAAAUAAUAAAAUUUUGAAAUGCUCAAACUCACUACAUAUAUUUCGCAUUUUCAAUUUUAUUUGUUAUUAAUAUUAACGUAAAAUUAUAAUAUAUAAUUUUUUUUCUAUAGAUUUAAUAUACAGUAUAUUGUAUUAUAAAUUAUAAGAAAUUAUUUUUAAAAUAUGAAUAAUACUUAUGUACAAAAUAUCAUAAAAGUUAAAAAAUUAAAUUAAAACAUUAAAAUUCAUUAAAAUUAUAAAUAUUUUAUUUAUAUGAUCACAUAAUAAAUUUUAAAUUAAAAAAUUAAAUUAAUGUGUGAAACUAAUCAUAAAAAUAUAAAAUUAUUAGCAUGAAUUAUUUAUUCGGAAUUUUUAGCCAAAAACUCAGAUAUCUAUCAUUAUAAAAUUAAUACUUUUAAUAAUUUUUUAAGUAGAAAGUUUUAAAUUUUAGUUAGUUAUUUGUUUUAGAUUAUAAUGAAUUUAAUUUCAAUUUAAAUUAAAAAGUAAUAUAGUUAAUUAAUUAAAUAUUUUUAAAUAGCAAUAAAAUACAAUAAAUUUAUAAUUAUUAAAUGUAGUUUGACAAUUUAAAUAAUAAUAGCUUCUUAAUUAUUUAUAUUUAAAUUAUCAUUUUUAUAUCUUAAAUUCUAAGAUUAUCUUUUAUAGACAUGUAUAAGAUAAACUAAAUUAUAUAUAUAUAUAAAGAAAACUAAAUUACUCUCCAAUCUUCAUGUUAUAAUAUUAUAUAAUUAAUUAUUUUUACUAGUUUAAAAAUAUGUUAUAAGAGAGACAACACACUUAAUAUAUCAUAACUUAUAUGAUUCUGAGCGAUACAUUCUACUAAAAAAUAAAAUUCAGAUAAUUAAAGGUGUUUAAUUUUAGAGCCAAAAGAUCGAAAAACUCUUGAGUUUCAUCAUUCAAAGUGUUAAAUGGGUGUUGAGACCUUAAGAUUUCAGCCUUAAAAUUAAUAUCAACAGGAGGUCUCAACCGCCUUUGAAAUCCAAGGAUUAUAUGACAGUCAACUCAAGACUGAAACCCAAGGGUAAUGACUAUUGAGUUGAAGGCUUCGGCCUACUAAGCCAAAAUCCAAAUAGACGAUAUUAUUCAAAUCACGUAAAAGUCGUAUGAUAAUUAAGACUUCAAAUCACAUAUGAGUAAAAAUGUUCUCGGAGUAAAAUUUUACAAUCUAGAACCAAUAUAGAUUUCAAAUAGUCCUACCAAGAGUCGACCAGCUUUAGAUCUAAAAGACACCUCAAGUAUGUUAAGUUAUCUUUUAAUCAAACCAUUCUCUAUACCUUUAUUUUGAGAUUUAUGAUAGAUCACUUACUAAUUUAAGUAUCAAAAAGAUAACCCACAAUAAUUCAUAUCUGAACGUUAUAUCUAUUGAGCCUGAGAAGAUCAAUAUACCAUCACUAAAAAUGGUUAUUGAUAUUAAUUGCACUACAUUUUACAUAUAUUUUAGGACAAAUCUAUACAUGGAUUUAUCUGAAUUCAUAUUUUACUAGGUAUAGAACCAAUCUUUAUUCAUAUUGUUUACAAAGAAGCUGAAACAUGGUAAACUAAAGACUUUUUUUAUUAUUUUUUUAAAAAAUUAAAAAAACUUAUUAAAUUAAGAAAAAUUAGAUGUAUAUUUGCACCUCUAAACUUUAUUAAAAAAAUUAUAUCCACAAAAAUUAAAUUAUUUUCUUAAGUUAAACUACUUUCAUAUAUUUUAUUUAUAAUUUUGACUCCACUUAUUUACGAAAAAUAAUUACUAUUUGAAUAAUAUUAAAAAAUAUUUUUUAAUAAAAUAACUUAUUUUCUCUUAUUUAAUUUUAAUUUAAAAAUAAAAUUUAUAAACUAAUUUAUAUAGCAGUCUUAAUAAGAUACUCAAAAUGCAGACAAUGAUUUUUUUUUUUUAAUUUAUUUUUCUUAAAAUAACUUAAUUUUUAUUUUAAAUAAAAAAUAUUUUCUAUUAACUAAAUUUUAAGAGUGUUUUGAAUGUUGGAAAAUAUGGACAAUUAUUACAAGAAAAAUAUUCAUUAAUGAGAGAAAAAAUUAUCAUUAAAUAUUAAAAAUUAAUCAUUGAAAAAUUACAAAAUUAUUUUUAAUUUUGUGAAAACAAAAAAUAAAAAUCAUGAAGUGAUACUAAAUGCACUUUAAAUUAGUCGUUAUAUAUAUAUAUGAGUGCAAGUGUGUAGAAAGUGAAUUAAGAAAUUAAAAUAUAAAAGAGUAAAUUAUUGUUUGAUUUUUGUACUAUUUUAAUUUUUUUUUAUUUCUAUGUCAUUCUGUUAAAAUAAAUCAUUAUAUUAUUUAUUUUUUUAAUUAUAUAUAUAUAAUUUAUUUUUUCUAAUUAAAGCUAAAAAUAUAUUUAUUAAUAUUUUAUUCGAUAAAAAUAUCAAAGAAUUUGAUUUUAUAAAAUUGAAUGAUUUGAAAAUAAAAAUUGAAUAGUUAAUUUUAAUAAAAUACAACGAUCUAUUAACAAUUUAAUCUUAUAAAAAAGAAUUAUUCAAAACUCUCUAAAGUUUCAUCAAACAGUGAGAAUCCCCUUGCAAGUUUCAUCAAACUUAUCAGUAGUGCAAGUAAGUACAAUUGGCCCAUCAAUUCUGGAGUCGAGAUCACCAUUCUGAUAUUGUUUAAUCAAUUCUUGUAAUGCCAGAAACUUCAGAUUCUCUACUUGAACUUGAUAUCUCUUGCUCUCGUUACCCACGUAUAUGGCUACAUAGCCUUUUCGAAUUUGUGGAGUUUUGACUUUUUGAUCAGUGGAACUGGAGAGCAAUUUAUAAGAAAAAAAUGACUAGAUUGCAUAACGUUGAUCUAAAAUUUUGUAAAUAAAAUCCAUUUUCCUGCUAGAAGCUCUCGACGAUGACAUUAUUGAUGAAAUUUUUUUAAGUUAAAAAAACUAUUUGAGAGUUAAAGAAUCCGAAAGAAAAUUGUAUUACAAAGAAUAAUAGUUGGGAUUCAAUUUAUAUAUAGAAUGAAUGAGUUUUCCUGAUGAAAUUUGGAUUUCCAGCAGUAAGUAAAGUUUUUUAGCUGGAUUAGUUUAUUAAUUGGUUUAAAAAAGAUACAAAUUAAGGCAGUGAAAAAGAAUCUUUAUUAAUUAUAUAAUUAUUUACAUUUUGAUUUAUUAAUGGUAAUUGCUAAAUAUGGUAAUUAAGUGAUGCUUAAGUUUAUAAUUUUGAGAAUAAUAAGAUAUGACGAUAAUAUUUAUUCAGUUUUAUGGUUUUUAGUUUCUUAAAAUGGCAGAAUUAGUUUAUAGGUCAGUAGAUUUUUUGUUAGGAGUUUGAAAUGGGAGAGAUUAUCACAAAUUAUAUGCAAUAUUCACACUUAAUUAAUUCUCUAAAUUUUUCAUACAGAAUGUUGAAAUGGUUAUCUUUGAUUAAAAAAAAGAAAUGGUUAUAAUAAAAAAUUAAAUAUUUUAUUUUUUUAUAUCAACACCAAUUUUGUUAAAAAUAACAAAAUUAUUAAAAUUAUUGAAUAAAUUAACUAAAAUUAAUAAUGAGUGAAAAUAUUGAAUUAACAGAAAGAUUUUGAUUUUUUUCUUUUUGUUAUUUAAUUUUUUUAAAGAAAUGAAGAUAACUAUUUUUUAACAAAAAGUGGGGCCAUUGAAACUAGAAUUAGCUGCUUUGAUUCAAUUUUUCUUUUCUUUUUUUGUAAAUUUUAUGUUGAUUCCCUUCAAUUUUUUUUUCUUACUAGAAUUUAUUUUCUUUUUGUAGUUUAUUAACUAUCAUACAUUACAAAAUAAUAUUUAAUGGAAAAUUUUAAUUAUAGUUUUAUUAAUAAUGAUGUUUAUAUUAAUUUUAUAUUAUUUAAUUUUAUAUAAUAAGAUAAAUAAUAAAAAGUAAAAAUACCUUUUAUAUAUAUAUAUAUAUAAGAGUUUAAUUUAUGUAAGAGUUUUCUUUAUAAUAAAGUUAUAUAUUUAAUUUAAUUAANNNNNNNNNNNNNNNNNNNNNNNAUAUAUAUUUUGAGAGUUUAAUUUAGGUAAGAGUUUGUAAAAUUAUAAAUAACAAACAGAUUUAUAAAUCAUUUGCAAAUAAAAGUGUAAUCGUUUAUAAAAUUAAAAAGAUACAUAGAUACAUGUAUGAAUUUGUUCAUACAUACAAAUGUGUGAACCAUUUGUAAACUUAAAUGCUCAUAAACAAAUUCACAAAUGAAAAUUUGUUAUGGAGUUAUAAUCCAUUUUUAAAAUUAGAUGUACACAUAUGGAUUUGUAGGGGUGAGCAUUCGGUCGGUUCGGUUCAAAAUCGAAUCGAACUGAAAAAACCGAAAACCUAAAUUUUAGUAUUUAUGAAAAUCGAACCGAACCGAUUUUGGUCAGAAACCGAAUCGAACCGAACCGGUCUGAUUCGGUUCGAUUCGGUUCGUUUGAUCAGUUUCGAUUUUUAAUGAUUUUUUUUAUUUUUUACACUUUAUUUUUAAUAUUUUAAAAUUUAAUUAAAAUAUUUUAAUUUUAAUAUGAUUUAAUUUCUCUACAUUAUUGAAAAAACAUAUUAUUAUCACUAAUCGGUUCGGUUCGAUUUUUUCAGUUUUUUUCUGAUUAAAACCGAACCGAACCGAAAUAACUGAAAUUUUUGAAAUUAAAAACCGAACCGAACCGAAAUGUAUAAAAAAUCAACUAAAUUUUAAAUCGAUUCGGUUCGGUCGGUUUUUUUGAGUUUGAACCGAAUACUGCUCACCCCUACGGAUUUGUAAAUAGAAGUGUAACUAUUUGUAAAAUUAAAAAGACAAACGGAUUUACAAAUAAAUAUGCAAUUGAUUUGUAAAAUUAAGAAAAAUUAACUAUUUAAUCAUUAUGAUAUGAUAAAAUUUAUCCGUUGUUCCCUUUAUUUUAAAAAAUAUAUUAAAAUAUUUUUAAAAUUUUAAAAAAUUUACUAAUUAAUCACUCCGUUACUAUAGGGACUAAGUAGUAAUCUUUUCUAAAAUUAAAGGACUACAAACAUAUUUACAAAUAAAUAUGAAAAUAAAAAUUAAAUGGAUAUAGAAUAAUUUGUAAAUGGACUUAUAAUUAGCUUGUGAAAUUAAUACAAAUAAAUUUAUAAACGAAUAUAUAUAAGUCAUUUAUAAAUUUAAUUUGAUAUAAAUAAAUUUAUGAUAUAGAAUUAUAAAAAAGAAUAUUUAUAUUUUUGCUAUUUCCAUUUGUAAAGCUAUAACAUUCAUAAAUGAAUUUAUAUCGGUUUAUAAAUUCCAUUUAUAUUUUAAAAAAUUCUUAUAGUAAAGGAUGAAAGAGUGAACAAUCAUAAUAAAUAGAAAAUCUUUCCAAAACAAUUAAACAAACUAUAUCAGAAGAAUUGAAGAGUUGGUUAAGAUUAUGCAGUCUAUCAGUUGUUCUUAAUUUUUAUCUUUUUCAAAAAUAUAAAAAUAAGAGUUGAUCAAUAAAAUAUAACAUGUUUCGGUUUGGAGAGUUGAUUGAGACUAUUUAGUUGUAUUCAAUUUUUAUCUUUUUCAAAUAUAUAUAUAUAUAUAAAUUUCCGAAAAGCAAAGAAACCAAAAUCCAGAAGGUGUAAAUGGAAAAAGAAACAUUUAAGAAUCUAUUAAAUAUCAAGAAUUCAGUUGUUUUAAACAAGGAAAUGACAAAGUACGUAAUAUUGUUGCAUGGCAUUUUCACAAGGGCAAAUAAGAAUCUAUUAAAUUGAGCCUACAAGGCAAAGGAUGCAUAUGAGUUACUGUUAGUAGACAGACCUUGCUAAUUUAUAAACGCUCAAUCAUAGAAAGAAGAAAGGGAUGCAGGUUACCAAGAUCAAUCACAUUAGAGAUUUUGACAAGUAUAAUUUUGACAAUUCAAUUAUUUCCCAUUCCCAUUUGUUCUUCACCCAACAGCCCAUAUUUAACAUCAACACAAAUAGGUUAGCUGCUAAAUUUAAUAGUCUGCUAAAGGAGAAUUUGAGAGCAAUAUUACCAACCGAUCGUCUCUCAUUCCAAAAUUUCAUUUUCAUCUCAUUCCCCACAGCAAAUCUGAUAUGAAUUAAAGGAGAGAAGGAAGAGUUCAUCGAAAGUAGCAUAGCCUCGAAUGUCUUUCUGAAGGGAAGAAAUGCAAUUUCCUGGAGCAAGAGAGAUACCCUUCUCCAAAUUGAAAGAAUAUUUGGAUAGAAGUUGAACUCAGAGUGAAUCCCUAUGAUUUUCAAAUCUCCAAAGCCAUUUGAACAAAAGAGCUUGAAUUUGAAGAGAGAUCUCUUUCAUGCCUAAGCCUCCUUUCUUUUUAGGCAACAAAAGAGUAUUCCAUUUAAUCAGAUGAAGUUUCUUUGUACUGACAUUUUUCCUGCCACCUUUGAUUAUACCUGUGUUAUAUAUAGAGCUAACCUGCCUUUUAUGAACUUGUUCAUAAAUACAUUUGGACAAAAAGUCCUGUUAAAUAGCUGAAGCUAAACUAGCAUUCCAAUCGCUAGUAGGACCAAUUGCAGUUGCUUGUCUCAGUGGCUGCAUAUGUCUGAUUUUCAUCCUCUUCUUUUGCUUUUCCCUCAAUUCCCAUAACAUUUUCUGUUGUGUAUAAUUUUAGUGACAUUUCAUCCAACCAACAGCUGUAGAAGUCUGGUGAUUCUCUUACCUUGUAUUAUGGGACUGUAUAUCCUGCAACCUGCAUUUAUAGUGUAGUCUAAUUGUUAAAUCAAUUCUCAAUUAAAGCACACUGGUUUAUAAUCAUUAUUUUCAUUAUUAUUAAAAAUUAUAAUAAUUAAGCAAAAAAGAAUUGCUUAUACCUUUAUGGUUAGAAAGGAGAAGUUGUAGUCAUAUCCUUGCAAGUACCUACAAGAGAAAUGAUAGCAUUUUAAAAGGUCAUUGAGCACAAAAAUAAAAACAAAGAUUCUUAAUCAUUGUAGUACGGAACCAAUUAGUUUUAGUUCUCAACUCAAUUUUAGGACUGAGCUCUCGAGUUAAGGCUGUAGUAGCAGCCAAAAAAAAAAUUGUAAUGGAGAUGUUGGGUUUACCAGCAACUUGAUGUAGAAAUCCAUGACCUCCAUUCAUCAACAAUCUUAUAUCAAAGAGAUCUAGUCCAUGUUUGAAUUCAAGCGAAAGGCACACACAUAUCAUGAUUUCCACCAUAGGUAAUUUGCGGUUUUAAAAAUUUUUGUUUUGUGGAAGAGAAUCACAGCUGAUUGAAAUUAAAAAUGAUAUUUGAAGAAAUUAGUUAAAUUACAUAUCUAUUAUAUUUGAAAAAGGUAAUUACCAAGUUGCGCUCCAAGAUACACUUGAAUGGUCAAGAUAUAACAACUUUAGUUUGCUGAUCCCUCAUUGCGCACCUUUAAAAGCCUCAGAAUGAGAUCAUUAUUCCGCGAUAAAUGUACUACCAGUUCUGUGGUAGCAGCAUCAGCAGAGAACCCCUUAUCAACCAUUUCAUUGAUUAGUUCUGAUGCUUUUGGUAAAUCCCCAUGCUUGAGAAACCCUUGAAUGAUGAUGUUAUAACAAGAAUUAUUUGGUAAACAUCCUACCUUUUCCAUGUCUUUAAAUACGUUAUACGCUUCAUCCAUUAAUCCUUGUUGGCAGAGUCCCUUCAUUAUUGCAUUAUAUACAUAAACAUCAGGUUGUAAACCAAUUUCAAAAAGACUAGAAAAAAGUUCCUUGGCAUCAUUAAUCUUCCCAACUUUGCACAUACCAUUGAUCAGACUGCUAUAGAUCACAAAAUUAGGCUUCAACUGACUUUUCUCCAUUGCUUUCAAUAGGGUGAGUGCCUCAUCGAGAUUCCCCUGUCUACACAAGCCAUCAAUCAUAAUUGAGAAGGUUACUAUAUUUGGCUGUUGACCAUGAGAGCACAUAUCCUUAAAGAGCUCUUUUGCAGUUUGGGGCCUCCCUGCUUGAAACAUAGCCUUUAUAAGAGUAUGAUAAGUAAUAGCAUUAGGAACUAAACCUUUAUGAGACAUUUCAUCAAAAAUCUGCUUUGCAUCAUCUAUCAUUUUGCACUUACAAUAUCCAUUGAUCAAAAUGUUGUAGCUAAAAAUGUCAGCUAUUUCAUUGGUCACCAUCAGAUCAAAUACCUUUCUAGCCUUAUCAAUUUGCCUGCACAGACAAUAUCCAUCCAUCAAUGAAUUAUAAGUGACAACACUAGGUUCCACACCUCUUUGAAUCAUUAUUUUGAUUAUAUUCUGUGCAUUUGAAACCAGUCCUUUCUUACAAAGAGUGUCAAUCAAUAUACUGAAGGUAAAAACAUUAGGGGAUAUGUUCCUCCCCACCAUUUCUUUCAACAAGGCCAAAGCUUCCUUGAAUUGGUCUGAAAUGCAAAGACCAUCAAUUAAGGAAUUGUAGGUGACCACAUCAGGCUCUACACCUCUUUGAAUCAUUACAUUGAAUGUAUUUUGAGCCUCUGAAACCAUUCCAUCCUUACAAAGAGCAUCAAUCAAUACAUUGAAGGUAUAAACAUCUGGUAAUAUGUUCUGCUCCACCAUUUCAUUCAUCAAGGCCAAAGCUUGGUUCUUUUGGCCUAAUUUGCAAACACCAUGAAUUAAACUAGUGUAAGUGAUGACAUCAG
rnacentral:lncRNA from 1 species